UACGAAGGGUGCUAGCGUUGUUCGGAAUCACUGGGCGUAAAGCGCGCGUAGGCGGCGAUACAAGUCAGAGGUGAAAGCCUGGAGCUCAACUCCAGAACUGCCUUUGAAACUGUAUUGCUAGAGUGUCGGAGGGGAUAGCGGAAUUGCUAAUGUAGAGGUGAAAUUCGUAGAUAUCAGGAGGAACAUCCGUGGCGAAGGCGGCUCUCUGGGACGGUACUGACGCUGAGACGCGAAAGCGUGGGGAGCGAACAGG
rnacentral:rRNA from 1 species